GGUACACUGGUUGGUGAUGCUCUCUCUCUCUCUCUCUCUCUAAGAAAUUUGUUUCAAGAGUAGUGGGUAGCUACGGACCAGCCAAACUUGCUCCUCCAUCUUCUCUUCAUAAGCCCAUUUCACUAGUCUCUAAGUCUUACUCCUAUUUCAACUGAGGGUUGUUGGCUCAAUUUGAUUGAUAGCUCAAAAAUGUCACUGGAAGUGGUAAAUCCACAUGAAGAGGGGAAUUUUUUGCCUUGACAGGAGCGAGGCUGACUGGUAAGGAAUUGGUUGCAAUUGGACUAGCAACCCAUUUUGUCCCUCUUGAGG